rnacentral:lncRNA from 1 species
UAAAACUACAUGUUUAGCACGGGUCAACUGAGGAACAUAUUUUUGUUUUGUAAACAGAAAGGUUAGUUUAGUCUUUUCACAAACCAUACCUCCCUGUAUAAAAUUCAUCAGAAAAACGUGAGACAUAUUUAAGGAGGGUUCUAUUCUUAAUUUUCCUCUGUGAUUGUACCUUAUAAUUCACAUUUUCAAGAUUCUUUUCCAGCUCUGAAAUUUUCAAAAAAUAGCAGAAAAAAUGGGUUCCAUCGCUAAGGUAUGUAAUUUUACUAUUUUGCAAUCUUUUUCCUGAAUUUUCAUUCAUUUUUCUAACUACUCCUUUGAUUUUCUUGAUUUUUUUGGUGUUUUUUUGGGUUCUUUAUGUUGUUUAUGGUGCUUUAAAAGUCUAGAUUUUUUUUUCCUGGGAAAUACUUUGAUCUGCUACUGAAUUGUAUUUUUUUUUUUGAUUUUUUUGGGUGUCCGUGGAUUUUUGAUGCCUAUUUAUGAUGUUUUAUUGAAGUUUUGAUGCUAUUUAUGAUGUUUUGUUGAAUUUCCAAUUUUUUCCCUGCGAAAAAAUUAUUUAGAGAAGUAUGAUUGAUUGGUAGCUUGAUUUUGAUUGUGUGGGGUUUAAAUUUUGUAGCUUGAUUGAUACGCAUAAAUACAAACAUUUGUUAAUAUUUGUUUUUGUUUAAUGAAUACACAUAAAGAUAAGAGAUUCCGCUACUAGGAUUUUUUUUUUUUUUUUUUUUUUAAUAUCCGUGGUGUCCGGGCCAGCUUCCGUGGCCUUGACUAAUUCAAGGUUAUAUCUGCCACCUCGACCAAUUUUGUUGACCAAGGCUAGGAGAGAUGGAAAGAAAUUAUAUAUUAUUUUUGUAUGGAAUUUGAACUUGAGAUGUCAUGAUUCUCUAUCCAGACCACUAGGUCGUUUCGUACCCUUGGGUGCUUGAUUUUAUUUUCCUUCUUUCUUAUAUCCUUAAUCUUGAUUUCGGAUUAUGUAAAGGGUUCGAUCAAUUAUGUUUUCUAUUUGAAUUUUCUAGCUUGAUUGAUACACCCAACUUACCAACAACAAACUUACCUAGUGUAGUUGCCUGUGAGGUCUCGGGAGGGUAGAGUGGACGCAGACCUUUCUCCUGUAGACCCUCAGCUCAAGGAUCUAUUUUGUUUAUUGGUACAUAUAAAGCUAGGGAUUUUGCACUUAUUUUUUAGGGGGUGGGGGGUUACAAAUGUUAAAGGCAUUUCCUUUUUUUGUCAUUUUAUGAAUUGUUUACCCCGCGGGAAAGAGCGUCUNNNNN